GGGCGCGUCGUCCCCUCCUCCGGCCCGGCCCUGGCUCCUCCUCUCCCACCGGCGCCGGGGAGGGGUCGAGGCCAGCCCGGAGGAGAGGGGGCGGGGCGGCGGGGACGCCUGUCCGGGGACCGAUCGCCGCGCCGCGCAGCGGCCCCUGCGGGGGAGGAGAACGGAGGGGUCGGGAGGCGACUCCGGGAUGGAGCCCCUCCCGGGGGGAGAGCGAGGACCAGCCCACCCCGCCCCCCGCCCCGCAGAUCAGGUGCUGGCGGAUCUGGCGGCGCCGGGCCCCGCGCCCCCGCACAGGCGCCCAGGGGGGCCGAAGGAAGGGUGGAGGGGUCCCCUGCCCCCGAAGCCGCCGGGCUGCCCCGCCCGCAGCGCCACGUCCUUUAGCCGCUCCUCGUGACCUCAGCACCGCUUCACGGAGGAGUUUUCAGACUUGCCAAGGUCAAGGCCCUCAGACAACGCUGUUACGAGUGCGUGGUGAAAUCCCUCUGGCGAAGAGUCUGUAUCUCCUAAAUCUGAACGUACACCUGCCUUGUGACCCAGCAAUUCCACUGCUAGGUUCCUGCCCAAUAGAACUGAAGUCGGAAUGUCCAUAUUCGUUAUUCAGAACAGGAGGUCAGUCGUGUGGCAUAUGAAUUAUAUUCAAAUAAUAAAGAAUAACACCAGAUCAGACGAUGAUAGAGCCACAGGAGAAUGUUACGGAAACCCAGGACACGCGGAGCUCCCUCCGCCUGCAGAGCAGACUGCGAACAGCCUCCCGGAAGAGAUCCUACUCCAUCUUACAGGCUAUCCAUGCGUGGUGGCAGAGGCGGUCUCCAGGACCUCUAGGGUUCAAUCCUGCCAAUUGCUUCAGAAAAUUCAGUGACUUUUCAUGGCGUAUCAUUGGCUCGGCUUGGGACCCAUACCCACCGUCCCUGGACCAGUCCCUGUGCGUAUGGACAUGAAAGCUGCUGAUUGGUCAAGCACAGAGCCAGAGGGUGGGGAUAGUGUACCUGAGCGGUGUCGGAUAAGAAUGGAGGGAAAGGAAUCCUCAGUGGACAAGUGAGGGACUCUUCCGGAGGGGAGGAUGGAUGUUGAGUAGACCAAAUAAUAAUAAUAAUAAUAAUUAAUAAACCGAUGUUUAGUUUGGGACCAGGAAGUUGGUAGUGGCAGUAUUCCCUCACGCUGGAGAAAUGUAGUCAUCUAAUAACGCUGAUAUUAAAAAUGUUCUCUUUUUAAUACUUCAAUUUCA